CCAGGAGAUGGCACUGGAGAACCUGUCCUGCAGAGACAAGGCAAAAAUGCCGAUUCACAAACCGGCUCUGUGCUCGUGAACACGAAAUAAUCCGGAAGGUAUCUCUCCUCCGUAGUAUUUGCUUUUAGGAAGGACUUAAGGCUUUGGCUUUUUUUUCAUUUUGUUCUCAAACAUGAUGAAGAAGAAGCUAAAAGGAAGCCAACCACAGCACCCAGUGAAUGCCAUCUGGGUUUGCCUUGUGAAGCACAUUCUAUUUUCUCAACUGUUACUUCUCGUGAAGAUUGAUGAAAAUGUCUUCAACACGAUCUAAAUGGCAUUUAUGCCUCAGGGUUCACUUCGUGCCUUUUGAUGCGUCCCUGAUCAGGCUUUGUUUUGGGAGGUGUGAUGGUAUAGGACCAUUAACCGUUACCAAAUGCAUAAGCAUCAUUCAAGUGAAGAAGUGCAAACAGAGGAAAGCUCCUGUAAUUAUAAGCAUCAGCACAGAAGGGAAGCUUCAAAAAGGACCUCGAGAGAUCAUGGAGUCCAUCCUCUGCAAGAAGGAGCAAGGAUAGCUGGAGGUCUGCCCAGCUUUCAAUGGAACAGCAGUGCAGGCUUUAUGGGAAUGCCUGAAAUGCUUUGAUGUGUUUUACACGCACUCACCCAUGCGGGAUCCUCGCCCGAGAGAAAGCAGAGGCGAGGCACAACGUGGUGUUUGGGUGUUUCAGCCUGAGAGAACAGAAAUAGUCAUUCCUGCCAAUGGACAGUGCAUCUGGGGCUUUGGCUUGUUCCAGCUGUUCUGUGGGCUUCAUCAGUUCACCAUCCAUGGGUGCCAGAGGAACUGCAGCACUCCACUGCUUUGCUCUGAGACUCCCCAGGUUUUCCCCUGGACACCCCAGAGCUUGGCAUGCCCCCUGCCCUUCCCCCUGAGACUCCUCACUGGUGUUCAUGGCUUUAAGGAAGGCACUGCAGGUGAUCCUGGCACAAUCCCAGCAAGGCUUCUCUGUUGGGAAGGAGGUGCAUUCCUGCGUGGCUGUGAUGGAAAGCUGUCUCUGCUCCCACUGCCACAGGCUCAGCCCAUCACCUUUGCACAGCUCCACACUCUGCUUCAGACAGAAAACAACCCAUAGGGACAAAUGACCUUAAUUAUGAGGACAAAGAUUAGUUAAGUGCAGAAUCUUAGUAUUAAUACAAGAAAUAAUCAAGAUAUGUUGUUGUAAUUAAAUUGAAUCUGUUCUUUCCUCCCCGAAGAUUUCCCUCUCAAUCUAAUUUAUUAUUUGGUUGGUUAAUCAGUAUUAAAGAUCCAAAGCAAUAGUGGUCCACACAUGAUAAGCAUGGCCUAGAGCCUGACUGCUAUUACAGUGGGAAGUGCUCAGGUUUCAGGCUCCAAAAAACCAGUUCUGUACUGACAAAUUGCAGUGAACACACAUGCAUGGAAGAAAUAAGAGCACAAUGAAUGUGCUCCUGCUGAAACAACAGGGACACUAAGCUGAUGUGGAAAAAUUUUCUGCUUAGAAAGGAAAAUAUGUUCUUACUUGGUGGUUCUGUGUGGUGGAAGCCUCAAAACAUAUGGGAUCAGUUUUGAACACAUUUUAAUGCUUUUUAACCUGUGAGCUUCAUACAUGAUUGGUCUUGAUAGGUAAAAGUGAGCUGUUUGUCACAACCUGCUGCUUCACAAAGACUCAUGUUAUGUGCUGACUUUGGAUUUGGGGCAGAAAGAGGGAAUUAUGUGACAAAAGGAAAAAAAAGAGGUGCCAUUGACAAGUUAUGAAUGGGAGAAAUUGGAACAUAUGCCAUAUACCACCAUAUACUACAUACUCAAGCUCUCAAAAGAAAAAAAAAAGGGAAGAAAAAGGCUGUAAAUUCCAUUCAUAAUUUUAACAGAAUUGUACUUUUUUCCCCAGAAGAAAAACAUGUUUGUACCUUUAUUUGUUUUCUUGGUUUAUUUUUAUUGU